rnacentral:lncRNA from 1 species
AAAUUUCAGACACCACCCUAUAGUUUCGCAUGAUCUUACUUUAGUACUCUAUAGUUUAAAGUGUAUCAAGUUAGUGUGCUGUAAUUUUAUUUUUAUUUUUUUCGUCAGCUUCUUCUUUAAUAUUUCGCUAAAUUAUAUACAAAAAAUUUUAGAUACCCCAUCCAGGUUUAUCGAAUAUUCAUUUUAGUACCUUUUAGUUUUAACUUUGUCACUGGUUUAACGAAAAAAAUUAGUAGAAUCGAUAAUAAAAAGAUAAAAAUAAAACUAUAGAACUCUAAAUUAAGAUAUUUUAAAGUACAUGGUACUUAAAUGAGAAAGUGUGAAAUCACAGAAAGAGUAUUUGAAGUUUUUCCAAAAGAAAAAGAAAAAUUUGAGUGAGGAGCUGCCCAACAAGGACGGAAAGCUCCUCAGAUGUUGCCACAUUGUUCAAGUCGGACGCAUUUUAAAUAAACAGCUUAGGAAGACGGGCAAUACAGUCCAAUCUACUUAGGUACCGUUUAGUUGAAUAUAAUUGCAACUGUACUGUAGUUAUAAUUACAUAUAAAUACACAUUUAGUAUUUUGUUUGAUAUAUUUAACUCCGACUCCUGCAAUUCCUACUACAGAAAGAGGCCCAACUGCAGCAAUUGAAACUACGUCCAAAUUGACUAUAUUUUCAACUGCAGCAGUUGGAAACAGAAAAGUUAUGCUUACCUCUUUAAUUAACUUGCAAAAAUAUUUUUUUUUUAUGUUGGAGGUAAUCUUACCGUUAUAUAUAUAAAUGAUAAAGUUUUAAAAAUUAUUUUUCAACUGUAUGUAACCAAAUAAAUUAUUUAUAGUUAUAUCACUUUCUAUCACAUUCAGCCAAACAUAACGCAUGUACUGCUGCAUUUUCAACUGCAUGCAUCUUCAACUAUACUAUAUUUGUAAGCUAUGAGUUUAAUGAUUGAUAUUAUUUUACACGAUUAUUUCUAAGAAAAUAAAUAAAAUGGAUAAUUUGCUAAUUUUCUCUUAAAAGAAUCAACCAACUUUAUU